AAUAAAAAAAUUGUUAAAUUUUAAACGAAUAGGUAGCUCCCUCUUGCGUAUGUGACGUCAUUGUGCAUAUUCCAUUCAAAUUUGUUGGCGCCAAUCCACUCACAGAAUGUUUUUAUAAAAACGCCUGAUCAGCUGUUGUGAUUGUUAUUAAAAAAAACAACUGUUUAAAUUAUUUCAAAGCAAAAACAUAAACUUUAUAACUUUUUAAUAUGUCAUUAAAAAACAGUGGUUGUUGGUGUAUUGUACCAACAUGUAAAAAUACCGGUAAAUCUAAUCCAAAUAAAAUUUUUAUAAAUGUUCCAUCAAAUAAAUUAAAACGAAAAAUGUGGUUGGAUGCAUGCGGGAAUAAAAGUGAUUAUUCUUUAUCAAGUCGACUUUAUUGUUGUGAGGAUCAUUUUGAUAUAUGGAAAAUUAUUUAGAGUGGAAAAUGAUUGGUGGU